CGACGACUCGCUGUACCCCAUCGCGGUGCUCAUAGACGAACUCCGCAAUGAGGACGUUCAGCUUCGCCUCAACAGCAUCAAGAAGCUGUCCACCAUCGCCUUGGCCCUUGGGGUUGAAAGGACCCGAAGUGAGCUUCUGCCUUUCCUUACAGAUACCAUCUAUGAUGAAGAUGAAGUCCUCCUGGCCCUGGCAGAACAGCUGGGAACCUUCACUACCCUGGUGGGAGGCCCAGAGUACGUGCACUGCCUGCUGCCACCGCUGGAGUCGCUGGCCACAGUGGAGGAGACAGUGGUGCGGGACAAGGCAGUGGAGUCCUUACGGGCCAUCUCACACGAGCACUCGCCCUCUGACCUGGAGGCGCACUUUGUGCCGCUAGUGAAGCGGCUGGCGGGCGGCGACUGGUUCACCUCCCGGACCUCGGCCUGCGGCCUCUUCUCCGUCUGCUACCCCCGAGUGUCCAGUGCUGUGAAGGCGGAACUUCGACAGUGAGUCUCUGCCUCCUUGGAAGCUCCAAGCUCCCAUCUCAGCUCCAACCUUCUCUAAAGCCUCAGACUCCUUUCGGUCUAGCUGGGGCCCAAAUGCCCCUGAACUCUCUCCACUCCCACUCCUGCUUACCACCUGAUAGGCCACAUCCUCGAGAGUUGGUCUCUGGACACGACCACGUGUCAGUUUACCCACCUCUGCCCC
rnacentral:sRNA from 1 species